AUGGGCGUGGCAGGCAAGAAGAGGCCGGUGGGCGGCGGGGCUCCGGUCGUCGGCGGCGUCGGCGAGGAUGUCCAGGUGAUGCGGGUGUUCGGGGGCGUCCGAUUUUUUGUGGACGGUGAGCUGAGGGGAUGUCGGGAACGGCGCAGACGACGAAGACGAGGCGGUGGAGCUCGGUGCUCCGGUGGAGCGUGCGGGCAAAACGGCGGUGAACUUCGGUGGCUGGGACGAGAUCGGAACGGCGAGGGCGCGACCUAUGGUGGGAGUUGGGGUAGGGUUUUUGGGGGGUUCGGAAGAGGAGGGGCUUGGCCUUUUAUAGGGUGUAGUCUUCGGCGAGGGGGCGUCUCGGGAUCACGAUCCCGAGAGGAUCGAAACCGCGCGGCGUCGGGCGUGCUCCGGUUCGGUUUCGUGAGCGAGGGGUUGGGGAUGAGGGCGGGCCCGGGGCGUCAGCGAGAGAGAGAGGGGACAGGCGCGACGGGCGACCGAGGGGGAGAGGAAAUCGGGCGCGGGGCGCUGGGCUGCGGCGGCUCAGGCGCUGGCGGGCUGGCGCCUGCCCCGCUGGCUGGGCCGUCUAGAUCACAAUCACAACACAGAACCAAGAGCGACCACCUGUGUUGGAUGACCAUGGCAAAGUAUGCACAUAUGUCUUUCAUCAUUAUGGUCCUUGUUCUACGCGCCAGCUUCCAAGCCCAAGAAAGCGACUCAUUUGGCGACCUCAGCGCCUGGGCUCCCGCCGUCGAUCUCGUCGGGUCCCCUCACUUCCAUCGCCCUCGUCGGCGUCGUGAGCUAGGCUUUUGCUGUCGGGGUGGGCUCCUCGGCAUUGCGCUUGGCUCCGGCCGGGCGGCGAGGGUGGCGGAGACGCCCGCGAAUUGGUGUGCUUCGGGUGCUGCAUUGUCUCGUCGGCCUCGUCCAUGGUGGUGGCUUCAGGUCAGCUGCUUGUGUGUGCUCCAAAUCGAGCGCUUGAUCUGGUUGGGCGCUCGCCGGCGUCAUCCUUGGCUCUGGCUCGGGAGGAGCUCGGGGCGGGCUCCGUCGUCGGUUGCGGCCACAGCUCAGAAGCGUUUUUGCGGGGACGGCGCUUGGUGGGAGGCUGCGUCUCGACAACUAGGACCGACGGACACACACAACAUCACCGAGUACAUCCCAUUGGAGUUCACAAAGACUUUUUUCCAGACCCACGGAAUACAUCCCUCCGAUACAUCGAUUGCGUUUAAAAGGUGUAGGUCGUGCCCCUGCUGCCCAAAGGAUCCCAAGAAACCAUGUAUUGAAGCACCAAGCUGUUGCUAUCAGAUAAACUGCAAUGAUCCUGGGCAACCACUUGGUACUUGUACUGAACGCGCGUUCUCCUGUAAUUGUGACAAUAGUUGCAAGUGA
rnacentral:rRNA from 1 species